rnacentral:rRNA from 1 species
AUUGAACGCUGGCGGCAUGCCUUACACAUGCAAGUCGAACGGCAGCACGGGAGCUUGCUCCUGGUGGCGAGUGGCGAACGGGUGAGUAAUACAUCGGAACGUACCCAGGAGUGGGGGAUAACGUAGCGAAAGUUACGCUAAUACCGCAUAUUCUGUGAGCAGGAAAGCGGGGGAUCGCAAGACCUCGCGCUCUUGGAGCGGCCGAUGUCGGAUCAGCUAGUUGGUGAGGUAAAAGCUCACCAAGGCGACGAUCCGUAGCAGGUCUGAGAGGAUGAGCUGCACCACGGGGACUGAGACACGGCCCAGACUCCUACGGGAGGCAGCAGUGGGGAAUUUUGGACAAUGGGGGCAACCCUGAUCCAGCCAUGCCGCGUGAGUGAAGAAGGCCUUCGGGUUGUAAAGCUCUUUCGGCGGGGAAGAAAUGGCAACGGCUAAUAUCCGUUGUUGAUGACGGUACCCGCAUAAGAAGCACCGGCUAACUACGUGCCAGCCGCCGCCGUAACAC